rnacentral:rRNA from 1 species
GUAGGGUGCAAGCGUUAAUCGGGAAUUACUGGGGCGUAAAGCGUGCGCAGGCGGUUUUGUAAGACAGUGGUGAAAUCCCCGGGGCUCAACCUGGGGAACUGCCAUUGUGACUGCAAGGCUGGAGUGCGGCAGAGGGGGAUGGAAUUCCGCGUGUAGCAGUGAAAUGCGUAGAUAUGCGGAGGAACACCGAUGGCGAAGGCAAUCCCCUGGGCCUGCACUGACGCUCAUGCACGAAAGCGUGGGGAGCAAACAGGAUUAGAUACCCUGGUAGUCCACGCCCUAAACGAUGUCAACUGGUUGUUGGGAAUUUAUUUUCUCAGUAACGAAGCUAACGCGUGAAGUUGACCGCCUGGGGAGUACGGCCGCAAGGUUA